CGGAGCUUGCUCCACCGGAAAAAGAAGAGUGGCGAACGGGUGAGUAACACGUGGGUAACCUGCCCAUCAGAAGGGGAUAACACUUGGAAACAGGUGCUAAUACCGUAUAACAAUCGAAACCGCAUGGUUUUGAUUUGAAAGGCGCUUUCGGGUGUCGCUGAUGGAUGGACCCGCGGUGCAUUAGCUAGUUGGUGAGGUAACGGCUCACCAAGGCCACGAUGCAUAGCCGACCUGAGAGGGUGAUCGGCCACAUUGGGACUGAGACACGGCCCAAACUCCUACGGGAGGCAGCAGUAGGGAAUCUUCGGCAAUGGACGAAAGUCUGACCGAGCAACGCCGCGUGAGUGAAGAAGGUUUUCGGAUCGUAAAACUCUGUUGUUAGAGAAGAACAAGGAUGAGAGUAACUGUUCAUCCCUUGACGGUAUCUAACCAGAAAGCCACGGCUAACUACGUGCCAGCAGCCGCGGUAAUACGUAGGUGGCAAGCGUUGUCCGGAUUUAUUGGGCGUAAAGCGAGCGCAGGCGGUUUCUUAAGUCUGAUGUGAAAGCCCCCGGCUCAACCGGGGAGGGUCAUUGGAAACUGGGAGACUUGAGUGCAGAAGASGAGAGUGGAAUUCCAUGUGUAGCGGUGAAAUGCGUAGAUAUAUGGAGGAACACCAGUGGCGAAGGCGGCUCUCUGGUCUGUAACUGACGCUGAGGCUCGAAAGCGUGGGGAGCAAACAGGAUUAGAUACCCUGGUAGUCCACGCCGUAAACGAUGAGUGCUAAGUGUUGGAGGGUUUCCGCCCUUCAGUGCUGCAGCUAACGCAUUAAGCACUCCGCCUGGGGAGUACGACCGCAAGGUUGAAACUCAAAGGAAUUGACGGGGGCCCGCACAAGCGGUGGAGCAUGUGGUUUAAUUCGAAGCAACGCGAAGAACCUUACCAGGUCUUGACAUCCUUUGACCACUCUAGAGAUAGAGCUUCCCCUUCGGGGGCAAAGUGACAGGUGGUGCAUGGUUGUCGUCAGCUCGUGUCGUGAGAUGUUGGGUUAAGUCCCGCAACGAGCGCAACCCUUAUUGUUAGUUGCCAUCAUUCAGUUGGGCACUCUAGCAAGACUGCCGGUGACAAACCGGAGGAAGGUGGGGAUGACGUCAAAUCAUCAUGCCCCUUAUGACCUGGGCUACACACGUGCUACAAUGGGAAGUACAACGAGUCGCGAAGUCGCGAGGCUAAGCUAAUCUCUUAAAGCUUCUCUCAGUUCGGAUUGUAGGCUGCAACUCGCCUACAUGAAGCCGGAAUCGCUAGUAAUCGCGGAUCAGCACGCCGCGGUGAAUACGUUCCCGGGCCUUGUACACACCGCCCGUCACACCACGAGAGUUUGUAACACCCGAAGUCGGUGAGGUAACC
rnacentral:rRNA from 1 species